ensembl:lncRNA
AACCAUCAGAUAGCACUGGGUCUGUGCUGUGGUCCCACGUUUCUGUGGCAACCGUGCUGUCGUUAUGGGAUGGCAAAAGCUACAUGAAAGGGAGACUCUGAUUUUCAUGCCUCAUGCAUUCUUCUUUUUCCUUUUCUGGAAUAUAUAUAUAUAUCACAAAUACUCUCUGAACAUAGAGCAGUGGAGGGGAAAGUACUGAAGUCAAGAAAAGGUAAAUGAAAAGGAAUGAAGAGCACGGGAGGAACGGCAGAUUGAAAGAAAGGAGAUAUGUAGAAACAAGGAUGUAAGGAAAGAAGUAAAACAAGAGAAGGAAAAUAAAUUUGGGGAAAAUGACAAAAUUGAGGAACACAAAAUUGUGUUCAACUACGUCACUUUAGCAAAAUGUACUUUCCUACAUUCCACGUUUGCAUAUACGUAUAGAGGUGUAUAUGUGUUUAUAUAUAUAUUCGCUCAUCUCAGCCAUUUCAACGUUUUUUUGUUUCAUCCGCCCGACGCGCAGCGUUUUCCUCGCCGCACUCAAAACCGUAGCAGAGACAAAGACUCGGGAGCGUUGUCGCGCGGGUUCAUUCGGUUUCCUCGUCCUCUCUUGACUCGGUGAAUUGCAUGUCCGUGGUUGGGUGAACCUGUAGUCCUGUCUUUUUUGGUCAAGUGGAAAAAAAAAUGAAUAAAAAAAAAUUUAAAAAAUAUAAUUCUCAAGUCUGCAUCCAUGGCAACUGCGGUCAAUAUUUUCAUCCCAUGUGUCACCGCCGCUCUCUCUCUCCACACCACACGUUCAUUCAAACUAACUUAAAAAAAAAGAUAAUAUGGAAAUUGAUGCAUUCAAAAUUAUAUGUACUUGUAUAAAUGGUGCAACAGUAAUAAAAUGUACGAAAUUGACUGAAACCACGGGAGUUUGUGCAAGUUUUUUUUGUCGUGUGCUUGAGACAAACAAGGGAAAUAUAAAUAUAGUUUUUACUGCCGCAGAAGGAGUUUGAGCUUCAGAUGAAGUGUCGUCUGAUUGAUCUAAACACAACAAUCAAGUUUCUGAUCCAGUUUAAAGUGAAUGGAAGGUCGAACAUUUUGUUUUAAUAGUCUGCAUUAGUGAGGUAUGGAAGAGUAUCAGGGCACAAGAACAAACAAUGAGGGGGAAGAUUUAGUUAUAUUUAUUCAACAUUUUGAAAUGUGGAGAUUAAAGUUGAAAUAGUCCUAAACGUCCGUGUUGUGGUUCCAGUUCAGCUGUCACACGUCCACGUUAGCUAACGUUAGCAAAGCUACGCUAACAGCGAGCCUCUCAAAAUUCACUAACGGUUGUUUGCAGGUGAACGUGGUCGUGUCAGGACGCACGUCGACGUUCAUGUUGCAAACACCCGUCGUCACCACAUCGUCUCUUCCAGAUUCAGCCUGUCAAUAAUAAUAUCGCAACUUUGCAACUUGGUUGUAGCUAGCGUUAGCUUAGCAAACUGGCUAACAAACAUCAACAUCCGGUUGUUUGGUGCUGAAAAGUGCUUCAGGGUCACAAUGUUCGACUUUGUUAUCGAAAUGCAAGAUAUAAAAAAUCUUGAUUAAGACUAACCCUUGAUUCGUCUCUUCCUGAAUCGCUCUCUCGGCUCCUUCCCCCUCUUCUCUCUCUGCUUUUGGUGCGACUGCUCUUUGAAGCCUGCGUGAGGAACCGGUUUCAAAGCGUCCGUGUCAUUUAGCUUCCUGACUGUGCUCAGGUUCUUCACCGGCCUCCAUCGCGCUCCGUCUUCAAAGCUCCCGUUGUUGUGGGGGAGGAUCAGAAACCCUGAGACAAAGAGAGGGAACGAGACGGAGGCGACGCUUUUGUGGGACGAUCAGUCAGAUCCUGCAUCCCGCGGAGAGGAGGGGGCCCCCGGGGGCCGAACGUGGGGAAUCCGCCCGGCGUCGGUUGCUCGGGCGACUGACGGCGACGAUCUGCACCAGGCGUCCGCGUGACGGCGAUCGGACGCGUUUCAGGUCGCAGGAGACGAGACUGUCACGCUGAGCUGGAGAUGUUUCAGCGCCGCUGACACGGAGGCCUCGGGUGAAUCACGGGUCCUGAAACGCAGAGCGUGAGAUGACGAAAUGUGAAGUGAAAUGAAGACGAGCCCUGGGGACGAACCGCCUCCGCUUCAUCGCAGUGAAGUUGGGGAAGAAAAUACAGUAUGUUGAGUUUAAGAGGAAUCAUCAGGUGUAUACAGGGCGUUGAAUGAACGGUGUUGAUCAGUAACUUGGCUAGUGGAUUUUUAAACUUUCCAGCCAAUCAGAUUUUCCACUAGCCAAAUUUUAGCCAAAAAUCAGUGCCACUGAAGAUAUUUCAGCACUUUUUUAGUUUUUUUCCGAACUAUCGUUAACUUUACUACUUAAUUCUUCGGCUCCUUUGUUUUGUUUCGUGUCGUUCCGUUCGUCUUCUUCGUUUCAGCGUAGCUCGCUCGCAAUCGAUACCACGCACGCUAUAGUCACGUAGCUAAACCACACUUCCCUUAUCUGAAUUUCCACACCAGGCUCAGCUAUUUAUUACUUCUCAUACAGGAUUGUAUGAGAAAUU